rnacentral:rRNA from 1 species
AUUGAACGCUGGCGGAAUGCCUAACACAUGCAAGUCGAGCGGGGGUAGCAAUACUUCAGCGGCGGACGGGUGAGGAACACAUAGGAAUCUGCCUUAGGUGGGGGAUAGCCAGGGGAAACUCUGGGUAAUACCGCAUGAUCUCGAGAGAGCAAAGGGGCGCAAGUCUCGCCUUUAGAGGAGCCUAUGUCUGAUUAGCUAGUUGGCGGUGUAAUGGACCACCAAGGCGAUGAUCAGUAACUGGUCUGAGAGGACGAUCAGUCACACCGGAACUGAGACACGGUCCGGACUCCUACGGGAGGCAGCAGUGGGGAAUAUUGGACAAUGGGCGAAAGCCUGAUCCAGCAAUUCCGCGUGUGUGAAGAAGGCCUUCGGGUUGUAAAGCACUUUAGUUGGGGAAGAAACAGCUUGGCCACACCAAGCCUUGACGGUACCCAAAGAAUAAGCACCGGCUAACUCUGUGCCAGCCGCCGCGGUAACAC